CAAUAGCGUAUAUUAAAGUUGUUGCAGUUAAAAAGCUCGUAGUUGGACCUUGGACCUGGACAGGCGGUCCGCCUCACGACGAGUACUGUCUUGCUGGGUCUUUCCUCUUGGUGAUCUGUUGUUUCGGCAGCAGGGAACCAGGACCUUUACUUUGAAAAAAUUAGAGUGUUCAAAGCAGGCUCGACGCCGGAAUAUAUUAGCAUGGAAUAAUAAAAUAGGACGUGCGGUUCUAUUUUGUUGGCUUUUGGAAUCGCCGUAAUGAUUAAUAGGGACAGUCGGGGGCAUUAGUACUCACAUGCUAGAGGUGAAAUUCUUGGAUUUUGUGAAGACUAACUUCUGCGAAAGCAUUUGACAAGGAUGUUUUCAUUAA
rnacentral:rRNA from 1 species